AACGAACGCUGGCGGCAGGCUUAACACAUGCAAGUCGAGCGCCCCGCAAGGGGAGCGGCAGACGGGUGAGUAACGCGUGGGAAUCUACCCAUCUCUACGGAAUAACGCAUGGAAACGUGUGCUAAUACCGUAUACGUCCUUCGGGAGAAAGAUUUAUCGGAGAUGGAUGAGCCCGCGUUGGAUUAGCUAGUUGGUGGGGUAAAGGCCUACCAAGGCGACGAUCCAUAGCUGGUCUGAGAGGAUGAUCAGCCACACUGGGACUGAGACACGGCCCAGACUCCUACGGGAGGAAGCAGUGGGGAAUAUUGGACAAUGGGCGCAAGCCUGAUCCAGCCAUGCCGCGUGAGUGAUGAAGGCCCUAGGGUUGUAAAGCUCUUUCGCCGGUGAAGAUAAUGACGGUAACCGGAGAAGAAGCCCCGGCUAACUUCGUGCCAGCCGCCGCAGUAACAC
rnacentral:rRNA from 1 species